UACGGAGGGUGCAAGCGUUGCUCGGAAUUACUGGGCGUAAAGCGUACGCAGGCGGCUUGAUCAGUCGGAUGUGAAAGCCCCAGGCUCAACCCGGGAACUGCAUCCGAAACUGUCAAGCUUGAGUUCGAGAGAGGGAAGUGGAAUUCCUGGUGUAGAGGUGAAAUUCGUUGAUAUCAGGAGGAACACCGGCGGCGAAGGCGGCUUCCUGGCUCGAUACUGACGCUCAUGUACGAAAGCGUGGGGAGCAAACAGG
rnacentral:rRNA from 1 species